GGCAUCGAGUGUCAGCGUCAAGCCCUGGCUCGCUGACCGGCAACCCUCCCGCGCGGUGGGGUGCUCCAGGUGAAAGCCCGGCGGGGAUCACCGAUGAUCUCCGCAAGCGCGUGGC
rnacentral:ncRNA from 2 species